rnacentral:rRNA from 1 species
UACAGAGGUCCCAAGCGUUGUUCGGAAUUAUUGGGCGUAAAGGGUGCGUAGGCGGUUUGGUAAGUCUUAUGUGAAAUCUACAGGCUCAACUUGUAGUCUGCAUGAGAAACUGCCGGGCUUGAGUAUGGGAGAGGUGAGUGGAAUUCCUGGUGUAGCGGUGAAAUUCGUAGAUAUUCGGAAGAACACCAGUGGCGAAGGCGGCUCACUGGACUGGUAUUGACGCUGAGGUGCGAAAGCGUGGGGAGCAAACAGG